GCAGUUUGACCUCCCACCGGAGGAGUGGCGUUGACAGAAGGAUGGUCCAGCAGAUAGAGGCGGCAGCAUGCUCAGCGCAGUCGCCGCACAAUGCCACAUACAAACUUACCCGAGCUGUGGAAGUAGACAUCUUUACCUUCAUGCCACCGCAAGGGUGACAACAGGAGCCAAACACAUAGAGCCAAAGAUCAGAACUACAGCGGUCAAGCAUCAGCAGCCGCUCUGGUGAUCCGCUCUGCUCAGCACAUUCAGUAAGGAGAUUUAUCACACGCAACCUGAAGAGAUGAGCAGCGGCAAGAAGAUGGAGGAUGAGGCGGUGCUGGACCGGGGGGCGUCCUUACUCAAGCACAUCUGUGACGAGGAGGAGGUAGAGGGUCACCACACCAUCUACAUCGGCGUGCACGUACCCAAGAGCUAUCGGCGUCGGAGGCGUCACCGCCGGAGAGCUGGCCACAAGGACAGAAAGGAGAGGUUGAUGGAGAACAUCUCUGACAAGUCCGACACAGAAAACAACGAUGAGGCCAGCAACAGCAUCCUCAAACCUCUCAUCUCACCAGCAGCCGAGAGGAUCCGCUUCAUCCUCGGUGAGGAGGAUGACGGCCCAUCGCCCCCCCAACUCUUCACUGAGUUGGAUGAGCUGCUGUCGGUGGAUGGACAGGAGAUGGAGUGGAAGGAGACGGCCAGGUGGAUCAAGUUUGAGGAGAAGGUGGAGAAAGGAGGUGAACGCUGGAGUAAACCCCACGUGGCCACGCUGUCCUUACAUAGCCUUUUUGAGCUGCGGACGUGCAUAGAGAAAGGCACCAUCAUGCUGGACAUGGAAGCUUCCACUCUGCCUCAGGUUGUUGAGAUGAUCACUGACAACCAGAUAGAGAUCGGCCAGCUGAAACCAGAACUGAAGGACAAAGUGAUGUACACGUUGCUACGGAAACAUCGUCACCAGACCAAGAAGUCCAACCUGCGCUCUCUGGCUGACAUUGGCAAGACAGUCUCCAGUGCAAGUAGGCUGUUUUCCAACCCGGAAAACGAUAGUCCCACCACAACUCACCGGAACCUGACCUCCAGCAGCCUGAACGACAUUUCUGACAAACCGGAAAAAGACCAGCUGAGGAACAAGUUCAUGAAGAAGUUGCCGAGAGACGCUGAGGCCUCCAACGUGCUGGUGGGGGAGGUGGACUUCCUGGACGCUCCAUUUGUGGCAUUUGUUCGUUUGCAGCAAGCUGUGAUGCUGGGAGCCUUAACGGAGGUUCCUGUUCCCACAAGGUUUUUAUUCAUCUUGCUCGGACCCAAAGGCAAAGCCAAAUCGUACCAUGAGAUUGGCAGAGCGAUUGCCACGCUGAUGUCAGAUGAGGUCUUUCAUGACAUUGCGUAUAAGGCCAAGGACAGACAAGACCUGCUGGCUGGUAUCGAUGAGUUCCUGGAUGAGGUGAUCGUGCUUCCUCCUGGAGAGUGGGACCCGGCCAUCAGGAUAGAGCCUCCGAAAUCCCUCCCCUCCUCCGACAAAAGGAAAAACAUGUAUGCAGGAGGGGACUCCCAGAUGAACGGAGAUAUGCCUCAUGAUGGAGGUCAUGGAGGAGGGGGACACGCUGUAGGGGAGGAGCUGCAGAAGACUGGAAGGUUUUGUGGUGGUCUCCUACUUGACAUCAAAAGAAAAGCGCCUUUCUUCCUCAGUGACUUCUACGAUGCAAUACACAUUCAGGCUUUGUCGGCCAUUUUGUUUAUUUACCUGGGAACUGUGACAAACGCCAUCACCUUUGGCGGUCUGCUGGGCGAUGCUACAGAAAACAUGCAGGGUGUGUUGGAGAGCUUUCUGGGCACAGCGAUCGCCGGUGGGGUUUUCUGUCUGCUAGCCGGCCAGCCUCUGACCAUCCUCAGCAGCACCGGUCCUGUUCUGGUUUUUGAACGUCUGCUCUUCAAUUUCAGCAGAGAUAAUGAAUUUGACUACCUGGAGUUCCGCCUGUGGAUCGGCCUGUGGUCUGCGUUCUUCUGCCUGGUGCUCGUGGCCACUGACGCCAGCUUCUUGGUUCAGUACUUCACUCGGUUCACUGAGGAGGGCUUCUCCUGUCUCAUCAGCUUCAUCUUCAUCUACGAUGCCUUCAAGAAGAUGCUCAAAUUAGCUCACCACUUUCCCAUCAACUCAGACUACAGGAUCGACUACGUGACACAAUAUGACUGCCUCUGUAUGGCCCCUGCUGUUCUAGAGAACAGUACAGACAUCAUUGAGGAUCCUUUAGAAGGUACCUCAGAAUGGAUCUGGAACAACACUGAUCUGCCAGCGAACGCCACAUGGUCGUCCCUCACAAGGACGGAGUGCUUAAAGUACAAAGGAGAGCUGGUGGGGAAGUCCUGCGACUUUGUCCCCGACAUCACCCUCAUGUCCUUCAUCCUGUUCUUUGGCACGUACACCUGCUCCAUGUGCCUGAAGAAGUUUAAGACCAGCCAGUUCUUCCCUACCACCGUGAGGAAACUCAUCAGUGACUUUGCCAUCAUCCUGGCCAUCCUCAUCUUCUGUGGAGUUGACAUGCUCGUAGGAGUCGAAACUCCCAAACUCAUUGUGCCAUCUGAAUUCAAGCCAACAAGUCCUAACCGAGGCUGGUUCGUGCCCCCGUUCGGAGGAAACCCCUGGUGGGUUUACCUGGCUUCGGCUCUCCCUGCUCUGCUGGUCACCAUACUGGUCUUCAUGGACCAGCAGAUUACUGCUGUGAUUGUCAACAGGAAGGAGCACAAACUGAAGAAAGGGGCAGGUUACCAUCUGGAUCUAUUCUGGGUGGCCGUCCUGAUGAUUAUUUGCUCCUUCAUGGGUCUGCCGUGGUACGUGGCCGCCACCGUCAUCUCCAUCGCUCACAUCGACAGUCUGAAGAUGGAGACAGAAACAUCGGCCCCUGGAGAGCAGCCGAAGUUCCUGGGUGUGAGAGAGCAGAGGGUGACGGGUGUGUGUGUGUUCAUCCUGACAGGACUGUCUGUAUUUAUGUCUCCUAUUUUAAAGUUUAUUCCCAUGCCUGUGCUGUAUGGAGUCUUCCUAUACAUGGGGGUUGCCUCUCUCAAUGGAGUGCAGUUUAUGGAUCGUAUCAAGCUGCUUCUGAUGCCAGCGAAGCAUCAGCCGGACCUGGUUUACCUGCGACAUGUCCCCCUCAGGAAGGUCCACCUCUUCACCUUCAUUCAAGUCCUUUGCUUGGCUCUGCUCUGGAUCCUCAAGUCCACCGUGGCCGCCAUUAUAUUCCCUGUCAUGAUCCUCGCUCUGGUGGCCGUCAGAAAAGCGAUGGACUACAUGUUCUCCCAGCAUGACCUCAGCUUCCUGGACGACGUCAUCCCAGAGAAGGACAAGAAAAAGAAGGAGGAUGAGAAGAAGAAAAAGAAGAAACGAGGAAGCAUAGACAGCGACGCUGAAGACUCUGACUAUCCUUACAAUGAGAAAGUUCCCAGCAUUAAAAUCCCCAUGGACAUGAUGGAGCAGGAGCCUUUCUUAGGUGAUAAGGCCUCUGACAUGUCUCUGAAGACUUCCUCUAUUACUAAGAGUUGACGUUGUUGCCUGUUGUCUCCAACUCACUGCAUGACAUUAACGUUUUUCCUCACCUUUCUCUUUCUUAAUCCUCCACUCUGCUCCAAAACAUGCAUGAAAUUAACUCACUUUUUUUUUCGUAGAUUGUGAUGCUAUGAUAUUAUUUCUUUCCCCCCUUUACAAUUUUGCUUGCUUGACCUAAUCCUUUUGUUCUUCAGUUUACUAUUUCACUCUACCUGCUUUAAAAUAUUCAUUGCUCAUUUCAUGGAUUUUGUUGUAGACACCACUGAUUUAAAACGGAUGCAGCUUUCUAAAACAGCCUGACAAUUGGCACACUUACAUCUAACUUUUGCUUUUAACAUGUAAAUAUGUUGGUCAAGUAACAGUUAACAUUUGUACCACAUCAACUCACUGGCUUCUCAUCUACUUUAUUACUGCAUACUAAAGUGAAAACAAUUUCAUUCUCACAAAGCAACUGCAGAGAAUGAUCUACUACCAGAGACAAGUCCCCAUCAUUCCUUGAACGACACACAUCGUGCUGAGCAGCUUCGCUACUACAAGGCCAACUGCUUGUCCAGCCCUGAGAUGAGUCCGCUGAAGCCUGUGCCUCAGAUUAGAAUAGACAUGGACCCAGACGAUGAUAAUUCUUUCUACUGGAGGGGCAGAGGCUCUGAAACGUCUCUGUAGAGCACCAAACCACCGCCAGGCGACUCCUGCAGCACCCGCAAGACAACUUUUACUUUCCUUUAUAAACAAUAUGCUUUUUAAUCUCAGAAUCCUCUUCAUGAUUUCAAAACUUUGUUCUGAGUUUAUCGUACAGAAAAGAAAGGUCUUAACACAACACACAAAAAAAAUGUUCUGUUUCUAAUGAUGAAGCCAUUUUAAAACCAUUUCUUUGCUCACAGUCUUGUCGGUAUUUUUUCUCACAGCUCCACAGUAAACAGAUAAAUGUAACUCCUUACUACUCAUCUAUGCAACUCUUCCCACAUAUCAACAGUAAAUGCUGCAGCUCUCUCUGACCGCGCAUGAAAUGCCCUCCCUGCUCUUUUUUUUUUAUAAAUAUAUAUAAAUAUCAUCCGUCUGAAUUUUUAUAUAAAUCAGAAUUACUCUAAUAACGUUUUCCUGUAGCAGGAAAAUUAUGUUUUUAUAGCUCUACCUCUUGUUUUAGAUUAAAUGCUUAUGAACAAAUGCAACAUGUUGAUUUUUGACGCAGCAUGGGGUUUUGAUAUUUUCUCUCUGUCUUGUAGAGUUGAAACGAUUCAAGAGAUUCACUGUAUUAUAGCUCGUGAAGGAAACGUGUGCAAAUAGAUUAAGUUAAUUAACAGUUAAUUAACAAUGCACAUUUGUAUGUGCAGAUGAGGUAAAUAUUUUUAUUAUCACUUUUUGAUGCAGUUUUGAUCGCUCCACUUUCUCUUUCUAAUUUUCUGAAUCUUUCUUUUAUGUGUUCACUUCAGAGCUUUUGUUACUCUUUUAAAUUCAAUCAUUUCUUUUUUUUUUCGGGUUCUUCUUUUUUUAAUGAUUAUUUUGUGUGUAUGUUGGUAACUUUUUCUUAUGUCCUUUUCUUUAUUUUUUUGUGGGUAGAAAACAGUUCAGCGAUUCAUAAUCAUCUGAUUUUCCUCAGCCAAACUUAAACUCUAACUAGAAAUGCAUAUCAUAUAAAUCGCUUGUGCUGCACAAACUACUUUACCGAAGUGGCUUAUAAGAGAUCGAUCCAGACUGAAAUUAUUACGGUAACGAUGUGAUAAAGGGAUUAGGAGGGACUCAAAUCCACAUAAGCUCCACGCAGCAGGUUUAUUUCUUUUCGUGUCAGCUGCUGUUGGAAUGAUCUGAUGUGAAAAUGGGAUCACACAUUUCUUUUUGUGUUAUGUGUAAAAUGAUGGGUUUGGAUUUUUUAUAUAAAGAGUUUGUCUAUAUAACACUCACGCAGUACUGUAUGUACACUGAGGAGUUAUCGAUCGCUGUCAUCUUUUUUUUUCUUUAAAAAUUACUCAAUCCGAUUAAUUGAUUCUUGAAUUAUUGGCUGAUUAUUUUAAAAGUUUUAAAGCAGUUCUACUUACAAGCCUGAAGUUUGCAGCUUGUUCAUGAUAAUUAACCCAUGCUCCAAUUGGACAGUUACUUUUUCAAGUUGUCACUAUUGCAGUGCACAUUGAAGUAGUUGUUGUGUCACAAAGAAACAGUGUGAGAAUUUCGGAUUAAACAGACCAUUUUGGAGGAUACCCUCUUGAUUUGGCUCAAAAGACUUCAGCUAACUGUAAAAUACACUUUUGCGAAAUGAUUGUAAAUUUUGUCCCCCAUCUUUUUACAGUGAAGUAACAGUGGAAAGAUACUGUUUCACAGCCAGUAUGGAGAGGAGAAAUGAUAACAGCGUACGAUAGCUUAAUAUUUUAGCGUAAAAUCCAAAAAAAAAAAAAAAAAAAAAAAAUCCAAA